rnacentral:rRNA from 1 species
AUUGAACGCUGGCGGCAGGCCUAACACAUGCAAGUCGAACGAGUGGCGGACGGGUGAGUAAUGUCUGGGAAACUGCCUGAUGGAGGGGGAUAACUACUGGAAACGGUAGCUAAUACCGCAUACCAUCGGAUGUGCCCAGAUGGGAUUAGCUAGUAGGUGGGGUAACGGCUCACCUAGGCGACGAUCCCUAACUGGUCUGAGAGGAUGACCAGCCACACUGGAACUGAAAGACGGUCCAGACUCCUACGAGAGGCAGAAGUGGGGAAUAUUGCACGAAGGGAGAAAGCCUGAUACAGCCAUGCCGCUUGUGUGAAGAAGGACUUCGGGUUGUAAAGUACAUUCAGCAGGGAGGCGUUACCCGCAGAAGAAGCACCGGCUAACUCCAUGCCAGCAGCCGCGGUAAUUC